GUGGAAGAAGAAGAGGAAUACUUCAUGAUCUCUCUCUGUCUCUCUGUCUCUCUCUCAACCUACAGCGAAAGAAGGAAGAGAAGAGGAAGCCGAUAUAUGGAGUCUUGGAUGUGUUCCUUUUUUGUGUAUACUUUUUGCCUUUUUUGUUUGUCUCAGAGUUUGUGGAGAGGCUCUGAGCCUCCAUUAGGGCUGCAGGGACGGGAUCUAAGAGCUAGGUGUGGUGGAGGUGUUCAAUGCUCCACUGCAGUUUGCAGUGAGCUGUGACCUCAAGCAAAGCGUGAGAGAGAGAGAGAGGAGCUGUGUUCGACAGAGGCUACUUUUUUGGCACAUUAUUUUGAGGGUGGUGGGUAUUCUCUACGCAGUGUGUUGGGACAAGGAACCAGACAACGUGAAGCGGGGCCUCCAUGGCAGCGAGAGACGCUGCAAUGUUGGCCCCUUCCAUUCCUCGACGAGCCAUCCUUCCUCUUUCUACGUGUACAAACGACGUCGUCGUCGUCGUCGUCGUCGACGGAGAGAGACGAUGGAGGUAGGCAUAUGCUGGCUCGAUCCACGAUGAGGUGUCCGUGCUGCAGUGGCCCGUCCACUGCGAACUCUGCCUCUGGUUUUGGAUUCUUUGGAGAGAUUUGACACCAAGAAAGGUCUGUCUACAGGUGUCUCGAUUUGGCCAAUGCAUCAAACAAACACGCCAUUUAAACAUCAUUUAUAAUAAGAUGGAGUGAUGGAGCGGAAA